rnacentral:rRNA from 1 species
UACAGAGGUGCCAAGCGUUAAUCGGAAUUACUGGGCGUAAAGCGUGCGCAGGCGGUUUUGUAAGACCGAUGUGAAAUCCCCGGGCUUAACCUGGGAACUGCAUUGGUGACUGCAAGGCUUGAGUGUGUCAGAGGGAGGUGGAAUUCCGCGUGUAGCAGUGAAAUGCGUAGAUAUGCGGAGGAACACCGAUGGCGAAGGCAGCCUCCUGGGAUAACACUGACGCUCAUGCACGAAAGCGUGGGGAGCAAACAGG